AACUAUGUCACAGCUGGGGUAGCACCAGGUUGACCAUCUGGGCUCAGAAGCUAAGCAGGAUCUGGUCUGAUUAGUAUUUGGAUGGGAGACUUUCUGGAAAUGCCAAAGCUGUAGGCU
ensembl:rRNA 5S_rRNA 5S ribosomal RNA